GGUUUCGUGAUGUAGUGGUUGUGAUCACGUCUGCUUAACACGCAGAAGGUCGCGAGUUCGAGCCUCGCCGAAACCU